CACGCCGUAAACGAUGGAUACUAGGUGUAGGGGGUAUCGACCCCCCCUGUGCCGGAGUUAACGCAAUAAGUAUCCCGCCUGGGGAGUACGGCCGCAAGGUUGAAACUCAAAGGAAUUGACGGGGGCCCGCACAAGCAGCGGAGCAUGUGGUUUAAUUCGAAGCAACGCGAAGAACCUUACCAGGGCUUGACAUCCCUCUGCCGGGUAUAGAGAUAUAUCUUUUCUUCGGAACAGAGGAGACAGGUGG
rnacentral:rRNA from 1 species